rnacentral:rRNA from 1 species
GAUUGAACGCUGGCGGCAUGCCUUACACAUGCAAGUCGAACGGCAGCACGGGAGCAAUCCUGGUGGCGAGUGGCGAACGGGUGAGUAAUACAUCGGAACGUGCCCUGUCGUGGGGGAUAACUAGUCGAAAGAUUAGCUAAUACCGCAUACGACCUGAGGGUGAAAGCGGGGGACCGYAAGGCCUCGCGCGAUAGGAGCGGCCGAUGUCUGAUUAGCUAGUUGGUGGGGUAAAGGCCCACCAAGGCGACGAUCAGUAGCUGGUCUGAGAGGACGAUCAGCCACACUGGGACUGAGACACGGCCCAGACUCCUACGGGAGGCAGCAGUGGGGAAUUUUGGACAAUGGGGGCAACCCUGAUCCAGCAAUGCCGCGUGUGUGAAGAAGGCCUUCGGGUUGUAAAGCACUUUUGUCCGGAAAGAAAUCCCUUGCUCUAAUACAGCGGGGGGAUGACGGUACCGGAAGAAUAAGCACCGGCUAACUACGUGCCAGCAGCCGCGGUAAUACGUAGGGUGCGAGCGUUAAUCGGAAUUACUGGGCGUAAAGCGUGCGCAGGCGGUUUUGUAAGACAGGCGUGAAAUCCCCGAGCUCAACUUGGGAAUGGCGCUUGUGACUGCAAGGCUAGAGUAUGUCAGAGGGGGGUAGAAUUCCACGUGUAGCAGUGAAAUGCGUAGAGAUGUGGAGGAAUACCGAUGGCGAAGGCAGCCCCCUGGGACGUCACUGA